rnacentral:sRNA from 1 species
GAGAAAAAGAGUUUAUAAUGCUACAAAAUGAACAGGAGAUAAGUCAACUGAAAAAAGAAAUUGAAAGAACACAACAAAGGAUGAAAGAAAUGGAGAGUGUUAUGAAAGAGCAAGAACAGUACAUUGCCACUCAGUACAAGGAGGCCAUAGAUUUGGGGCAAGAAUUGAGGCUGACCCGGGAGCAGGUGCAGAACUCUCAUACAGAAUUGGCAGAGGCUCGUCAUCAGCAAGUCCAAGCACAGAGAGAAAUAGAAAGGCUCUCUAGUGAACUGGAGGAUAUGAAGCAACUCUCUAAAGAGAAAGAUGCUCAUGGAAACCAUUUAGCUGAAGAACUGGGGGCUUCUAAAGUACGUGAAGCUCAUUUAGAAGCAAGAAUGCAAGCAGAAAUCAAGAAAUUGUCAGCAGAAGUAGAAUCUCUCAAAGAAGCUUAUCAUAUGGAGAUGAUUUCACAUCAAGAGAACCAUGCAAAGUGGAAGAUUUCUGCUGACUCUCAAAAGUCUUCUGUUCAGCAACUAAACGAACAGUUAGAGAAGGCAAAACUGGAAUUAGAAGAAGCUCAGGAUACUGUAAGCAAUUUGCAUCAACAAGUCCAAGAUAGGAAUGAAGUAAUUGAAGCUGCAAAUGAAGCAUUACUUACUAAAGUAAGUAAACAUAUAAAAGUAAUAAAGCAUAUCUAUGAAAACGUAA